GUAUCGCACCCCCUCUUCUUUGUGUUCCGUCCGUCACUGCUAUCACCUGUGCAUACAGUCCUAACCACAACACCCCCCCUCUACUGUGCUCUGUUGCUGGAUUUCGUUCUGGGUCGUCCGGAGGGAAUUCCCCCCCUUUCCUGGUCUCCCAUGCUGACAUGAAUGAAACCUCAAUCAAAGAUCUUUGCACUUCAGAUUAUCUAUACAACUGAAAAAGCUGGUGUUUUGAUGGCUAUCAUGAGUUCUUCAAGCUCGUCAAAUCAAGACAGCUGCUCCGAACCUCUUCUUUCAAGAUGGCUGCUGCACGAUAAGAGUUUUGUUUUCUCUUACCGACAAUCUGCUGAUUUCACGGCUAAAGCUGGUUCUUUGGCAGUGCUGUUCCCUGGUUCAGAAUGGAAAUAUAUAGGAGUGACCCAAGAUGACUUUUGGAUGAUCAUGGACCCAAUCGGCAAGUUUUUUUUUUUUUAAGAUUCCAAUUUCCUCUGGAAGCAAUUGAAAAGUCAUUGGACGUAUCUGUCUUCCUGUUAAAUAGUUUGUUUUCUAAGCACGCCGAAAUUUUAACUUUUACUUUUUGACUUCAUUGCUUUAUUUUGCUUAUUGUUUUAAAAGUUGAUUAAUGAUUGGGUGCUGAUUUAUUUCAAUCCUUUGCUGGACUCUAAUUGUUUUUUCUCUUUUUUCUGUUGAUAUAUGUUGUUCUGGAUAAUCUCUGUCCCUUCUGUAUCGAAAGCAUGGCAAUGUUCAGGAUGGUGGCAAAGAGUUCCCACUCUCACCACUGGAUUUUGUACUUUUUGAAUUUGCAAAACACGUGGACUUUAUUUCCAUUGAACGUUUCUUAUAAUCUUGGAUUAAAAUAUAAAGGCAAACAUAUUUUUUUUUAUUCUUUGUCCCUGGCUAAAUUUCACAGAUUAAGAUGACUGAACAAUCUCUGAAAACUAAGAAAAGAAAGUGGGGAGAUGUGCAGCUUCUAGCUCUCUCGAAAGCUUAAUCAAACUAUAAUAACUAAAAGAAUGUUAAAAUUUGAAGCUUUAUUUUUGGGUGUGGAUGAAGAUAUACAAAAGGACUUUGUUCCAGUUCCAGAUCAAAGAGAUAGUUUCACAACUGGAGAACCAGCAAAGUGGAUUUCAUCUGCUGUUAUGAAGUUUAACCUGCAUAUUCUUUCAACAUUAUGGUUUUGAUUAGAAAGGAAAUGGGCAGAUUACACAUCACUAGGAAGUCUGAGGAAGACUGGACAGAUUUAUUACAGUUAAUUGGCAAUUACUUCUGCUUGCACUUUGAUUGGAAGAUAGAUGUAUUUUGGAGACUGAAUUUAAUUUUGUUUAAUAUUUAAUUAAACAAUUGACUAGAGAUGAUGUGAAGAAACAAGCAUGGAUAUAUGAUCCAAGAUUAUUUAUUUAUAACAUUUGGAAUGAUUUAGGAGCUGUGGUAGCGCAGUGGUUAGAUUAAAGUAUUUCAGGCUAACUCACUGCUCACUGCCAGGAGGUUGAUUCUGACCGGUUCAAGGUUGACUCAGCCUUCCAUUGUUCUGAGGUUGGUAAAAUGAAGACCCAGAUUGUUAAGGGCAAUAUACUGACUAAGUAAACCACUUAGUGAGGGCUGUAAAGCACUAUGAAGCUGUAUAUAAGUCUAAGUGCUAUUGCUAUUGCUAUUUGGGAUAGAUAAGAUGUGGUAAAUUUUCUAUCACUGGAUUACAAUAACAGCUUGUUAACAGAGAGUUUUGAAACUUUAAUUUUAAUUUGUUUCACUAAUAUUGUUUUUCCUGUUAAUUACUUAGUGAUUAAUAUAACAUAUAGAAGACAGGUCAAAAAGCUGCAAAUAGAUUCAGUAGUUUAAAAUUUUUUGGAGGGCUUCUUUUACAAGGGGUGGGAACCAAUGUUGUAGUAAUAUAUUAAUCAGUAUUCAAUUAGAGGGGAUAAUAUAUGUAUAAUGUCUUUUUUAAUGUACCUUUUUAUUGUUGAUUGUUUUGUUUUUUGUGCUUUUUUUUCUUUUUGUCCUUUUGGAUUUUUUUUUUUUUUUAGUUCUGUAUUGUGUAUUUUAACUUUGGUUUGAAUAAAAUAAAUAUAUAUUAUAAUUUUAAAAAGCAGCUGUUCCAUAUAUCCUUUAACAAUUCUUAAACUAAACCUCAGA